UCCGGUUUAUCACCGGCAGUCUCCUUAGAGUUCCCACCUUUACGUGCUGGCAACUAAGGACAAGGGUUGCGCUCGUUACGGGACUUAACCCAACAUCUCACGACACGAGCUGACGACAGCCAUGCAGCACCUGUCUCUAGGCUCCUUUCGGCACAACCUCAUCUCUGAGGUCUUCCUAGGAUGUCAAGGGUAGGUAAGGUUCUUCGCGUUGCAUCGAAUUAAUCCACAUCAUCCACCGCUUGUGCGGGUCCCCGUCAAUUCCUUUGAGUUUUAAUCUUGCGACCGUACUCCCCAGGCGGACAACUUCACGCGUUAGCUGCGGUACUGAGAAAUCGCUUCCCCAACACCUAGUUGUCAUCGUUUAGGGCGUGGACUAC
rnacentral:misc_RNA from 1 species